AUUGAACCGCUGGCGGCAGGCUUAACACAUGCAAGUCGAACGAUGAUUAUCUAGCUUGCUAGAUAUGAUUAGUGGCGGACGGGUGAGUAACAUUUAGGAAUCUGCCUAGUAGUGGGGGAUAGCUCGGGGAAACUCGAAUUAAUACCGCAUACGACCUACGGGUGAAAGGGGGCGCAAGCUCUUGCUAUUAGAUGAGCCUAAAUCAGAUUAGCUAGUUGGUGGGGUAAAGGCCCACCAAGGCGACGAUCUGUAACUGGUCUGAGAGGAUGAUCAGUCACACCGGAACUGAGACACGGUCCGGACUCCUACGGGAGGCAGCAGUGGGGAAUAUUGGACAAUGGGGGCAACCCUGAUCCAGCCAUGCCGCGUGUGUGAAGAAGGCCUUUUGGUUGUAAAGCACUUUAAGCAGGGAGGAGAGGCUAAUGGUUAAUACCCAUUAGAUUAGACGUUACCUGCAGAAUAAGCACCGGCUAACUCUGUGCCAGCAGCCGCGGUAAUACAGAGGGUGCGAGCGUUAAUCGGAAUUACUGGGCGUAAAGCGAGUGUAGGUGGCUCAUUAAGUCACAUGUGAAAUCCCCGGGCUUAACCUGGGAACUGCAUGUGAUACUGGUGGUGCUAGAAUAUGUGAGAGGGAAGUAGAAUUCCAGGUGUAGCGGUGAAAUGCGUAGAGAUCUGGAGGAAUACCGAUGGCGAAGGCAGCUUCCUGGCAUAAUAUUGACACUGAGAUUCGAAAGCGUGGGUAGCAAACAGGAUUAGAUACCCUGGUAGUCCACGCCGUAAACGAUGUCUACUAGCCGUUGGGGUCCUUGAGACUUUAGUGGCGCAGUUAACGCGAUAAGUAGACCGCCUGGGGAGUACGGCCGCAAGGUUAAAACUCAAAUGAAUUGACGGGGGCCCGCACAAGCGGUGGAGCAUGUGGUUUAAUUCGAUGCAACGCGAAGAACCUUACCUGGUCUUGACAUAGUGAGAAUCCUGCAGAGAUGCGGGAGUGCCUUCGGGAAUUCACAUACAGGUGCUGCAUGGCUGUCGUCAGCUCGUGUCGUGAGAUGUUGGGUUAAGUCCCGCAACGAGCGCAACCCUUUUCCUUAUUUGCCAGCGGGUUAAGCCGGGAACUUUAAGGAUACUGCCAGUGACAAACUGGAGGAAGGCGGGGACGACGUCAAGUCAUCAUGGCCCUUACGACCAGGGCUACACACGUGCUACAAUGGUAGGUACAGAGGGUUGCUACACAGCGAUGUGAUGCUAAUCUCAAAAAGCCUAUCGUAGUCCGGAUUGGAGUCUGCAACUCGACUCCAUGAAGUCGGAAUCGCUAGUAAUCGCAGAUCAGAAUGCUGCGGUGAAUACGUUCCCGGGCCUUGUACACACCGCCCGUCACACCAUGGGAGUCUAUUGCACCAGAAGUAGGUAGCCUAACGCAAGAGGGCGCUC
rnacentral:rRNA from 1 species